rnacentral:tRNA from 1 species
GAAAGCUUAGUUGGUUAGAGCAUGGUGCUGAUAACAACAAGGUUGCAGGUUCGAUCCCCAUAUGAGACA